rnacentral:lncRNA from 1 species
CACUAUCAUUAUAAUGGAAUAUUACUUAGUCAUAAAAACGAAUGAAGUUACCAAUACAGGCUACAUCAUGAAUGAAUCUUUAAAGCAUUAUGUUAAACAGACAGACACAAAAGAUCACACACUGUAUGACUCCAUUUUUAUUUAUUAUCUGGAACAGGCAAAUCCAUACAGAUAGAAAGUACAUUAGUGGUUGCCAGGGGCUCAGGGGGAGGGGAGAAUGAGGGAUUUCUUUCAGGGUUUCUUCAUAGGAUGUUAUUUGGUAAAGGGUUUCUAAAGUUGAUUGCAGUGAUGCUGGCACAUGUCUGUGAGUAUACUAAAAAUCUGAAUUGUACACUUUAAGUGGGUUAAUUGUAUGAUGUGUAAAUUAUAUCUCAAUAAAGCCGUUUACAUAUAUAUUUACAUAUAUAUAUUUAAAUAAGAGAUGGAGUCAACAUCACCAAUACCCUCAUAUAGCCAAGACAAUUUUUUAAGAGAACAAAUUUUACUCAUAAGAUAUGAAGUCAUACUGUAAAGCUAUAAUAAUUAAAUAAGUGUGGUGCUGAUUUGGGAUUAGGUGAGCAAAUCACUAGUGCCCAGAAACUAACCCAUGCAUUUGUGGAAAUUUGGGUUAUAAUAUUUCAAAUCAAUAGGGAAAGAAGACUGACUCCUCAAUAAAUGAGACUGAGACAAUUUGCUAUCUAUCUGGAAAAAGGUAAAUUUCUACUUCCUACCACACACACACACAAAUUUCAGAAGGGAUGGAUUAAAUAUUUAUAUGUAUAAAACCCAAUUAAAAUUGUAUUUAAAGAACAUGUAAGAGAAUAUGUUUUUUACCUUGAGGUAAGGAAUAGCUCUCUAAAAAGAACCAAAACAAACAAACAAAAAAGCAACCAAAAUCACAAACAGUAGGCUUCCUUAAAUUGCAUCCCAGAAUUAGGCAGAUUUACUAAAGUGAACACUGCCAACCCUUUAAUGACGAGUGCACCCAUCCUCCAAUUUCUGGGAGUGCUGCUGCUAACAGCUUAUAAAUGCUACCUUCUCCAUAAACUUGCACUCAGCUGUUGGGAAAUACCUUGUUCUAUUAGUUUUCUAUUGAUGCAGUAACAAAUUGCUACAAUCUUAGUGACUUAAAAAAAAACACAUGUAUUAUCUUACAGUUCUGUAGAAGUCCAACAUGGGUCUUUCUGGGCUAAAAUUAAGACAGAGGAUAAAGUAACUAGGUGCCAUCUUGGAAGCAGAGAUCAAGCCCUCACCAUGUCAGAGGCGUUUGAACCAGAGCAACUCCAUCUUGAAUAGGAGCAGGGUAAAAUAAGGCUGAGACCUACUGGGCUGCAUUCCCAAGAGGUUAAGGCAUUCUUAGUCACAGGAUGAGAUAAGAGGUUGGCACAAGAUACAGGUCAUAAAGACCUUCUUGAUAAAACAGUCUGCAGUAAAGAAGCUGGCUAAAACCCACCACAACCAAGAUGGCAAUGAAACUGACCUCCGGUCAUCCUCACUGCUACACACCCACCAACACCAUGACAGUUUACAAAUGCCAAAGCAACAUCGGGAAGUUACCCUCUAUGGUCUAAAAACGGGAGGCAUGAAUAAUUUACCCCCUUGUUUAGCAUAUAAUCAAGAAAUAACCAUAAAAAUGGGCAGUGCCCUCGGGGCUGCCCUGCCUAUGAAGUAGCCAUUCUUUUAUUCCUUUACUUUCUUCAUAAACUUACUUUCACUUUGCCCUAUGGACUUGCCUCAAAUUCUUUCUUGCACGAGAUCCAAGAACCCUCUCUUGGGGUCUGGAUCGGGACUCAUUUCCAGUAACAACCAGACACCAAACCUGUCCAUUCCUUGAUCUUGGAUUUUCCAGAUUCUGGAACCAUGAGAAAUAAAUCUCUGUUGUUUAUAAAUUACCUAGUCUGUGGUAUUUCAUUAUAACAGCACAGACUAAGACACCAAGUUACCAUUACCAUUGUGUUAGCUAAUUGGCUUUAUCCAGGGGAAAAAUAAACUUCUCAUAUCUUUACGACAGGAGGUGAUUCUGACACUUGGAGUAAGAUGGCGACCAAAGUUAGGCUGCUACCCUCCCACAGGAACUGGGAAAUGAGGGUGCUUUCUCCCUUGAUGUCUACAUUUCAAAGAGAUGACUCUUAGGUCCAUUCUUGAGAAAGACAUUUGUGGGUCACAAAGAUGGCAAAAGACCUACUUAGUCUGCAAAAGGAUUUAUGUACAUUUAAAAGAGAGGAGAAAGUACUUACAAUUAUAAGUUUUCUCAAGUAAAUGUUCUGGAAAAAAAGGAGGGGAGAGAAAUCUCAUACCUUAUUUUCAAUGGGAGUAAUUAAGCCUCUUAUUGUUAAUUUGUAUCUGUCCUUACAAUCUCCUGCCUGUGUUACUAUAAAAUAGUAACGUGAACAUUUUUUUAGUUAUCUUUAUUGUGGUUUUUUUCCCUUUCUCUGGGCAGUUGUAGCCAUCUAAAAUCAGCAAAUCUGUAGUAAAAUACAAAGCAAAACAAUUAUUAGAAGCAUGAUAGAACAUCAGAAUUACUAAAUUUGUAGAAAGUGAAUUUUUUAGAAAUUUUUAUCUGCCUUGGGGAAAUAACCUUUGAAUAUAUUAUACUAAUGCUGAAUAGUUAAAUCUGAGUUUUAAAAGAUAUUUGAAAUACACUUUUAUUCUGAUUCUAAACAAAAAGGAAUGGCAAUGAUAGUAACAAAAUUUCCCCACUGAACAACAUAAGGAUGUUUCACAUACUCAUACCAAAUCUCUAUGCCAGUUAGGCACAACUGAAUAUUGUGAUGUGACAGUAGCAGUCUUACAUUUGAAACUCAAGAAGAAAUCAAUUGCAUUCCCAAACAGCUAAAUAUGCAGGUCCAAACAAUGAAGGUAUUUUUUAAACUGUCACAUUCACUCCAAAGCCCAUUCAUCUCCUUCAGCAUCCCACAGAUGGAGCACAUGUUGCCCUUAGCUAGAUAAUAAAGUGGCACACACAGUGCACCACUUGACAUCACAGAACAGCUGCCUAUAAAACUAGACUUUUGACACUGGGCUCCAGCUUCAUUCUCACAGGUCAUCAUCCUCAUCUGGGAGAGCAGUUGUCUAAGCAACCUCUAAAUCAUGCUCAUACUAAACUGCCAAAUUUGGGUCCAUGACAAUCUCUGGUGAGGCAAGAGCAGGCAUGGCAACAAAUUCCAAGUUACGG